rnacentral:rRNA from 1 species
ACGCACGCUGGCGGCAUGCCUCACACAUGCCAGUCGCACGCGACCUUCGGGUCUAGUGGCGCACGGGUGCGUAACGCGUGGGAACCUGCCCUUAGGUUCGGAAUAACUCCCCGAAAGGGGUGCUAAUACCGGAUAAUGUCUUCGGACCAAAGAUUUAUCGCCUUUGGAUGGGCCCGCGUUGGAUUAGCUAGUUGGUAGGGUAAAAGCCUACCAAGGCGACGAUCCAUAGCUGGUCUGAGAGGAUGAUCAGCCACACUGGGACUGAGACACGGCCCAGACUCCUACGGGAGGCAGCAGUGGGGAAUAUUGGACAAUGGGCGAAAGCCUGAUCCAGCAAUGCCGCGUGAGUGAUGAAGGCCUUAGGGUUGUAAAGCUCUUUUACCCGGGAUGAUAAUGACAGUACCGGGAGAAUAAGCUCCGGCUAACUCCGUG